CUUGCUUUUUGUGUUUGCAUCGCUAACAAGCCUGGGGUGGCCUCUGGGUAUUAUCCACUAGCCUGACUGCAGCAGAGGCAAGGGCCCUGAACAGUGAGUCCUUGGCCAAAGCCAGCAGCAAAAGUAAAACCGGUCAGCUCAACUAGCUUGACCAAACGUAUCCUGCUGUGAUCUGCCCAGACUCUGCCCAUAGCAGCCUACAGAGGCCACAAAAGCCCUGAAAGCAGUGCCAUUACUUGUUUUGUAUGUCCAGCUUUCCCAUGUAUGCUGCCUUGCUUCUGUAGGCUAAAAGCAGUCGGCUUUCCAGGGUGUCCCAGGGGGACACAGAUGGAGGUCCCAGAACCCCCUCUUAUGAUGGGACCCGAGGCUGGGGUGAGCUCCCAGAAGAACAAAAACAAAAGCCCUAAGAAUGGGGCUUACUUACCUUCAACAGGAAAAGCUGCACCACACCAAGAAAAGCCGCUGACACGGUUCAUCAGCCGCUGUUAUUUGCAGCUGGGAGCAGCGCCAGCAGAUGACGACGUCAUCAAAAACCACUGCCCAAAGGAUUUAAAAGCCGGUGGUGGGGAAACAGCAGGGGUAACAGCUAAGCUUGGGACAGGAGACAAAGCUGCUUCCCGGGCUACUGGGUUGCAGAAGCAGCAGGGGACUGGAUGGGGACUCACCAGAGGGGUCCCAGCUCCCCUGAAGGAUAAAUGCCCAGCUUGGCAGGGCAGCUGGGCCAAGGAGGACGGCAUUGAGGGAUCCCAAUGACCACAGAUGCUGGAGCUGUGAGUGGAGCAGGCUGAAGCCCGAACUCCUGCUGUUCCUUUUCUUUUCUUUGUUUUUCUGUUUUCUGUUAGUACCCUGAAGGGCACCAGAGCUGAACCAGGGAAGGCAUCCCCAAUUGACCCACAGAGUCAAGAAGAGGUGUGGAGGCAGCCCCAUCUAACGUGAUGUCCCAAAGAUAAGGCUCAAGCAGACAUUGGGACAAGACCGGUCCCACACCCGUAGACAUCUGGGGCAAAGAAAAACACUGAGGGUCGGGCAAAAGGGGGCAAAAGCAGGAGCUAACAUCAAAGAGACAAGCUGGCGAUCCAUCACCUGGUCUUCCUGAAGGCUGGCAUAUGGCUGGGGUGUAGGGGAGGUGGUGCCCCAAGAACACCCGCAAGGGGCAGCGCCUGGUCCACGAGUUGCUGCAAGGGAGAGUCCCACUAUUGAAAGGAAGAUCAAGUCAUGGCAGGCCUGCUCCAUGUGUACAGAAGUGACAGCUCUGUGCAAGGGUCUGGGCUGUUAUGCUGGAGAUGGGACUGGCCGUUCUGACCUCAGCAGCCGUGAACCUAUAUGCAUCCAGUGCUUGCAGCUUACAGCGAUCUUGAACUUCCUUGUGCACUGCCAUGCGUACAGGGUGGAGCGAACUGCAGGAGCAGGUGGGCAGAGCUGUCUCAGCAAGAGGAAGAGAGGGACGGACGUGCCCGUGCGAGUGCUGAGUUCUGCAGCCUGGGCCAGCGGCGGGUUUGCGGCACAGGGCUGUCUUCUUGUCAGGGACGCUGUCACAGUCAGGCCUCCUGCAUCCUCACAGCAGCUCCACUGCCAGCCCUGUCCCUGCAUGUGGCAGCCACGUGUUCUCCUGUAAAACUGUGCCACAAGGUACUCUGUGCGUGCAGACCAGCUCUGCCCUGGAGCACUGGCCUGUGCUCCCAAGCCUGGCCUGCACCUGAUAAUGCUCCUGGGCACGUGCUUCCAGAGUCAGGGCCCACGUGGCUCGUGAGCUCUGCCUCAUCCUGCUCCUGCUCUGCCUAGCGAUGUGUCCCGUGCCUCUUGCAGGUACCAAGGAGCCCCAGCUGGCUGCACCCAUGCAGAGACCCAGAGGAGAGGGGAGACAUCAGGUCCUUUGGGCAGCGCUGCAGAGGCCACAGUAACAGCUGGGCUGCCCCUGGAAGGAGCGGUCAACUGGUCUUGAAACUGUCAGCCACAUGGGCACAUGAGCUAGCUCAAUAUGGAGUAUCACAGAUGCCCUGUGAGCCCAUCACACCAGGACGUGACAGUCAGUUGUGGGGACGACGGAGCCCAGGGGCUGCAGAGAAGCAGCAAGAGACCAAACUGACUGUGUACAGGGCUCUGGUUUAGGGGUUAAGUCCCUGGCUUAGAGCCAUUGAUCCUCCUGCCCCAGUGUCCCAGAGCCAUGGAGACCUCCAGGUGAGCCCCUGCAUGGUGGGGCUGGAGCCUUUGCACCGGGGGCCGCUCUCCCCAGCCACAGCAGAGGCGCUGCCCCAGCCACAUCUGAGCCACUGGGGGUGGCUGGGACACACGCAUGCCUGUCACCCCAUCCUUUCCCACCCCUCAGCAACAGCUGCCAAAGACACCCCCAGGGGCGCAGGGAGGCCAGUGGGGAUCUGCUGGGGUCAGCUCAGCACGAGGCUCUCUCGGAGGGGAAGUGAGUGGGCUUUCUUUGUGCUCCCUCCACCUCUCGACAGAGCCCGUGCAAGGGUGGAGCUGGCCGGGCUCCUGAGCUAUGAGGCUUUGUGCCAACGUCCCACCGAGGGGGUGGAGUGCUUCCCCUCUGGGUGUUUCGUUCAGGCUCCCUGCAGAGCCGGGUAGCGUCGUUCUGCAGCUCUUCUGCAAGGCGAGGAGUUCAGCUGCACUGCCUUGCUCGCACCCAGGGCAGUGAUUCCCGGUGAAGGCCCAGGCUCCCUGCUGGCCCAAGCACAGUCGCUGCAUCUAUUGCACUCGGGGCACUCUUUCAGUCGCACGCACUCACAUUUUUCAGCUAUUUUCCCCAAACCCCAUGGCUAGAAGUUGUCUUUAAAAAAUAGUGGGUGGUGAGAGCAUGUCCUUGACCUCCUGUGCCCUCCCAGCCUGGCCCCAUGGGGCCUGUGCUCCAGCAUGGAGCUGCCCAGUGUGCCCGCUCUGGGAGCACUGGGCAUGAAUUCACGCUCCCUCUCAUGGUUCGGUUAUUUUAUUCUUCCCCUUUUCUCUGAAGGGUUGUAACAUCCCAGGGAUGUUGCAACAGGGUGUCGAGGCAGCAGUGGCUCACAGCAGGCUCAGGGCCCCCGCACCCGUUCCUCUCUGGCAGGCAGCUUUGGGGGAACUGAGGGCCUCGGUCUGAAAGGCCGGAGAGCUGGAGUCCACUACUUAGAGCAGCUUGGGUGAGGAGACAGGCUUAGGCACAGCAUUUCCUGGGUGUAGCCUCGCUGGAGCGUUCAGCAACGUAUGCUGCUCACACAAAGGCUUUGCCAAAGCAUUGGCCAGAGCAGGUCUCACCAGCAAACCUGACCGAUGCAUGAACACGUCACUUAAACAAUACUUGGCAGGCUCACAUGCCAAGACAUGGGAGGGGAAGAUGAUGGUACAAGGUAGGAUUAUCCAGUACCAGGGUAAUAAGGCUGGAGCGGGAACACCCAGGUCAGACGGUGCAAACAAGCCCACGGCACAGGACGGCACAAGACGCUCUAGAUACAGAGGGAACACAGCACGUCAUUUGUUUUCAUCGGUGCAUAAUAGGAGAAUUGGAAAGCCGGGAAAUGUUGUAGCAGCUUGGAGGAGCCUGCGUGGUGGUUUGCUGACACACAAGUCCAGAUGUCUUAGCUCUUGGUCUGAUGCACUUGUUCGGCCAAAAGGUGUUAGGGCCGUGCUUGUAGACAAUAAACCCAGCGAAUCUUUGCCACCGAACCGAGCCUGUGGUCAUUCUUUAAGACACGAUGAGUGUUGGGAUCCUUUGGCUCUGAUUUUUUGGCACUGCAGUUCCUGAGACUUCAACGCAGUAACACCUGAUGAGGGCAACAGCAAGGACGACAGUGAUAACCCCAGACUACACUGGUGACCCCGACCGCUGAUUCGGUGGCUGGCUCAUCCUCAUUUCGCCAUACCUGUGAUAGCUCCCUUGCUGGGAAGCUCACUGUGUCCCAGGACCUGGAUCU